UGUUCCUACAAGGAAAUCAAAAUACAUUAAGCAUGAAAAUAAUUCACAUAAAUUUCUAAGGAAACUGAUUUUGGCAAAUGUAUAUAAACACCAGAUACAAUCAACCCCUUACUUAUAUAAUUAUGUGCACAAUCUAGUCUUGUGAUAAAAAUUUCAGAUUCUUAAAUGGGAAUAUUUCGUACACACUGCAACAUUCCCAGACUUCAGUGAGUAAACAUUGCUUGCACAGAUACCAUUUCAUGGGCAAAGGCUGACUCCCUCAUUUUCUAAACCUAUUAGGCCAUCAUUGCUCAGGAAAGCCCCAAUGGUGGUGAAGAUCUCUCUUUGAUAGUGGCUACACCCAACUCUUACACUGAAGAUGCUCUUGAAUAACCAAUUAAACAUUCUGGAGGUAACAGCUGAGAAGCUCAUUGUCAAAACAGAAUGGCACAUAGCAUCUGGAAUCAUUCAUUGCAAAAUUUGACAACAGAACGCGGAAGAUAUUUCUGUGAGAAGACGCCUGAAAGGAUAGUUCCUUUUCUCUAGCUGCAUGUCAUAUUCAGCAUGUUCCUCUCCCAUGGUGACAUAACUAGGAGCUGAUGCAUCCUGCCAUAACUAUAUGCAAAGUUCUGUCUUCUGGUUUAAAUGGAAAGAACAAAUUCAAUAAACGAUAUCUUCUACCCAGUAAAGGCAUGGGGCCAGAUUAUCUGAGGGACCACUUGUUCCUGAUUACAUCUGCCAGUCCCAUCAUAUCCGGCAGAAGAAGUAUGUGGCAGGUUCUGUCUUCUGAGGAGUUGCAUCUAGUAUAAUCCAGAACAUGAGUCUUUUCUGCUGUGGCAUCCAUCCUGCAAAAUAUCAUCCCCUACAAGUUUCAGGAUUCUUCUAACAGCAGCACUAUCAUGGAACGUCAUGUUGAAGAGAACACUGAAUUAAAUAGAAGGGAGUUUCUUGGUACCCAUUUUUCCCCUUAAGAUUUAUAGAUGUCAUUAGCCCUACAUUUCUGUGUUCUUUCCUUGGAAAAAGUACAAAUAACUGAAUUUAUACCAGCUGUCUCCUCCCUAUACUGGAAAGAAUCAUAUCUGUGUAGUGGAAAAGAUAAACCCAGCACAUUAAAUGGUGACUAUCCUCCUUCUCAUCCCAUCUCCCCUCUUCUUUUGGAUAUGACCAAGGUCAAACCCAGGAUGUCUUUUUUGCCUAAUCCUAUCAGAUUCAAACUGACUCUCUCUGUCCCAGAAAAAGCUCCUGCGCAGCCCCAUCUAGACCAAAGAGUCGAAGCCUGUCUAUCAGCUCACAGCAUGGCUCAACAGCAAAUAAGAAGCUGCAACCUAGAGAAAUCCCAGCCUUUAUAUUCUGAUCAGCUGAUGACCUCAAUAUUCCAUUUCCUUACAACGAACUUCCGCAUCUCUGCUGUCCAUUUGAAAGGUCCACUUUACCUACCAAGAGAACUCACUCCAAUUACAGAGACAAAGACCUGUCCAGCUUCUCCAAACUGGCCAGAAACCCUGCUUUGUGGCCCUCAACUUCAAUUUAAAAAAAAACUUUGCUUUUCUUUUGUUCAGGGUCUGUCUUUCUUGUAAAGUAGGUAUCUAAUUAUCAUUGCAAUAAAUAUGGAUCUCUUUCUUAGUGUUGUGCUUCUUACUUUGGCAAAAUUAUAUGGCAAUUGAACAAUUGUGAAAAUUAUUCUGCAACUGAAUAAUUUUGCAACAGCUAUAUAAUACUUUUUGAAACUUGGAAACAACGUUGUGAAAGAGAAACAUUUUUUUCUCUCUUUAUUCUGCCACUCUGUUCCCAAAGGAUCAAGAAUAAAUGGAACACGAGGUCUCUAAUAGUUUUAUAGCUUUCUUUGAAGAGCAGAAAUUGUGGAUAAAGUCUCUCUCCAUUAAGAAUUACAUCGACAAUCCACCUAGACAUAUUACAAUAUAACAUUCUGCAAAUAUCUCAAUUCCUAUGAUGCUAUCUAAGCAACUUUAUGCAGAAAUACUGGGGGGGGGGGGACAAUUUCACAAACAAUUUCACAAAACCUGAUCUAAAACAUUCUAUUGUUAAUAACAAACUAUCUUGUUAUACUUACUGAUUUGUUACAACCUUGACAAUCGUUAUGCGUUGCAGAAAAAAAGAAACAUAUAUUUUAACUUUGGCAGUUUCAGUUUCCUGAACUAUUAGAAAAAGGCAAGAAUAAUAUUUUUCAGGAAAAUAUAAUCCUUUAAUCCCAGACCUGUCUAUAUACUGAAAAAAGCUAAAGAUGGGCUGUUCUAAAUUCAAAGUUUUUCCAUUUUAAUAUUGUCUUAAAAUAAAAAGUCUGCUACAGUUUCUGUAUUUG